rnacentral:rRNA from 1 species
AUGAACGCUGGCGGCGUGCCUAAUACAUGCAAGUCGAGCGAACAGACGAGGAGCUUGCUCCUCUGACGUUAGCGGCGGACGGGUGAGUAACACGUGGAUAACCUACCUAUAAGACUGGGAUAACUUCGGGAAACCGGAGCUAAUACCGGAUAAUCUAUUGAACCGCAUGGUUCAAUAGUGAAAGACGGUUUUGCUGUCACUUAUAGAUGGAUCCGCGCCGCAUUAGCUAGGUGGUAAGGUAACGGCUUACCAAGGCGACGAUGCGUAGCCGACCUGAGAGGGUGAUCGGCCACACUGGAGCUGAGGAACGGUCCAGACUCCUACGGGGGGCAGCAGUAGGGAAUCUUCCGCAAUGGGGGAAAGCCUGACGGAGCAACGCCGCGUGAGGGAUGAAGGUCUUCGGAUCGUAAAACUCUGUUAUUAGGGGAGAACAAAUGUGUAAGUAACUAUGCACGUCUUGACGGUACCUAAUCAGAAAGCCACGGCUAACUACGUG